UACGUGGGGUGCAAGCGUUAUCCGGAUUUACUGGGCGUAAAGCGUUCGUAGGCGGAUUAGUAAGUGUCGGGUUAAAGCCCAGGGCUCAACUCUGGACCAGCUCGACAUACUGCUAUGUCUGGAAUUAGUUUGGGGAAGUUGGAAUUCUCGGUGGAGGGGUGAAAUCCGUUGAUAUCGAGAGGAACGCCAAGGGUGAAGACAGGCUUCUAAGACUAUAUUGACGCUGAGGGACGAAAGCUAGGGGAGCAAA
rnacentral:rRNA from 1 species